rnacentral:lncRNA from 1 species
AAAGACCAUUCGAAGAUAUUAGAAGACAAUAGUUGUCAAAUCCUCACCAUUGGUGAUCAGUGCUACUGAGAGUAGAGUAUCCGCCUCAUUUCCCAACAAAAUGCCAAUCGAAAGCGGAAGUGAUGCGAAUCUACUUGGAAGUUACAACUAAGUGAAAGAAGAGUUGAUGAGCAAAUUUUGUGGAGGAAGGACCAAAAGCUUUGAAAGUUUACGAGGCGAUGCUCGUUAAAGCUCCAACAAGCAUCCACC